rnacentral:rRNA from 1 species
ACGAACGCUGGCGGCGUGCCUAAUACAUGCAAGUAGAACGCUGAAGAGAGGAGCUUGCUCUUCUUGGAUGAGUUGCGAACGGGUGAGUAACGCGUAGGUAACCUGCCUUGUAGCGGGGGAUAACUAUUGGAAACGAUAGCUAAUACCGCAUAACAAUGGAUGACACAUGUCAUUUAUUUGAAAGGGGCAAUUGUUCCACUACAAGAUGGACCUGCGUUGUAUUAGCUAGUAGGUGAGGUAAUGGCUCACCUAGGCGACGAUACAUAGCCGACCUGAGAGGGUGAUCGGCCACACUGGGACUGAGACACGGCCCAGACUCCUACGGGAGGCAGCAGUAGGGAAUCUUCGGCAAUGGGGGCAACCCUGACCGAGCAACGCCGCGUGAGUGAAGAAGGUUUUCGGAUCGUAAAGCUCUGUUGUAAGUCAAGAACGGGUGUGAGAGUGGAAAGUUCACACUGUGACGGUAGCUUACCAGAAAGGGACGGCUAACUACGUGCCAGCAGCCGCGGUAAUACGUAGGUCCCGAGCGUUGUCCGGAUUUAUUGGGCGUAAAGCGAGCGCAGGCGGUUUGAUAAGUCUGAAGUUAAAGGCUGUGGCUCAACCAUAGUUCGCUUUGGAAACUGUCAAACUUGAGUGCAGAAGGGGAGAGUGGAAUUCCAUGUGUAGCGGUGAAAUGCGUAGAUAUAUGGAGGAACACCGGUGGCGAAAGCGGCUCUCUGGUCUGUAACUGACGCUGAGGCUCGAAAGCGUGGGGAGCGAACAGGAUUAGAUACCCUGGUAGUCCACGCCGUAAACGAUGAGUGCUAGGUGUUGGAUCCUUUCCGGGAUUCAGUGCCGCAGCUAACGCAUUAAGCACUCCGCCUGGGGAGUACGACCGCAAGGUUGAAACUCAAAGGAAUUGACGGGGGCCCGCACAAGCGGUGGAGCAUGUGGUUUAAUUCGAAGCAACGCGAAGAACCUUACCAGGUCUUGACAUCCCGAUGCUAUUUCUAGAGAUAGAAAGUUACUUCGGUACAUCGGUGACAGGUGGUGCAUGGUUGUCGUCAGCUCGUGUCGUGAGAUGUUGGGUUAAGUCCCGCAACGAGCGCAACCCCUAUUGUUAGUUGCCAUCAUUCAGUUGGGCACUCUAGCGAGACUGCCGGUAAUAAACCGGAGGAAGGUGGGGAUGAUGUCAAAUCAUCAUGCCCCUUAUGACCUGGGCUACACACGUGCUACAAUGGUUGGUACAACGAGUUGCGAGUCGGUGACGGCGAGCUAAUCUCUUAAAGCCAAUCUCAGUUCGGAUUGUAGGCUGCAACUCGCCUACAUGAAGUCGGAAUCGCUAGUAAUCGCGGAUCAGCACGCCGCGGUGAAUACGUUCCCGGGCCUUGUACACACCGCCCGUCACACCACGAGAGUUUGUAACACCCGAAGUCGGUGAGGUAACCUUUUGGAGCCAGCCGCCUAAGGUGGGACAGAUGAUUGGGGUGA